AUUGAACGCUAGCGGGAUGCUUUACACAUGCAAGUCGAACGAGUGGCGGACGGGAGCGUUAUAUAUCUGAACGUGCCCAGUAGCGGGGGAUAACUAGUCGAAAGAGUGGCUGAUACCGCAUAAUCAUGGAGCUGCCGAUAUCGGAUUAGCUCGUUGGUGGGGUAAAGGCUCACCAAGGCAACGAACCGUAGCUGGUUUGAGAGGACGACCAGCCACACUGGGACGGAGACACGGCCCAGACUCCUACGGGAGGCAGCAGUGGGGAAUUUUGGACAAUGGGGGAAACCCUGAUCCAGCCAUCCCGCGUGUAUGAGAAGGCCUUCGGGUUGUAAAGUACUUUUGGCAGAGAAGCGGUAUCUGCAGAAUAAGCACCGGCUAACUACGUGCCAGCAGCCGCGGUAAUUC
rnacentral:rRNA from 1 species